CUCCCCUCCAUUUUGCCGAACCCAAAUAAAAAUCCACAAAAUAGAAUUUCAAAACAACUACACAAUCUGUUCCCUUUUCUUUGUCUUCUCCGCCAACAUAUCAACAAUCAACCGUUGCUCCAUGGCAACGUCGCCUCGCACAUUUCUUGAAAUCCAUUGCUUAUAAACAUUUAUAUCAAUGAUCAGCCGUCCCUUCUCUUUGUCUUCUCCAUCGACUUUUCUUACUUUAUUGCCUAAUAAUGUUUAAAUUCCUCAUAUUAAAUUCAAAAAAAAAAAAAAAUGAAACAAGCAAAGGAAAGAGAUAUAAUAUAUUCACCAAUUAUAACAAAAAUAAGAUCAACAUUGAAAAUAACAAUAAUAAUAAUAAUAAUGAUGCUAUCAUAAAACUAUUUUUGUGUGUGUUUCGGAAAGAGAGAUAGAAUAAAGGUAAGUAUAAAUCUCGAGAAAGUGGGCUAGGGGGAAAUCAGUGGAGAGAUGAGAGAAAACUUGGUCCAUGUGCUUGGAGUCCUUUCACCGUGACGUCCAAAAGUGUAGAAUGAUCGGAGAGCACUUCCCAGUGGUUCGAUUAAGCUUAGCCUUCGAUUUUACCUCUUCAAUGCUCUUUCUCAAUCACCUGCCAUUUUUUCUAUGAG
rnacentral:lncRNA from 1 species